ACGAACGCUGGCGGCGUGCUUAACACAUGCAAGUCGAACGGAAAGGCCCUGCUUGCAGGGUACUCGAGUGGCGAACGGGUGAGUAACACGUGGGUGAUCUGCCCUGCACUUCGGGAUAAGCCUGGGAAACUGGGUCUAAUACCGGAUAGGAGCCAUUUUUAGUGUGAUGGUUGGAAAGUUUUUUCGGUGUAGGAUGAGCUCGCGGCCUAUCAGCUUGUUGGUGGGGUAAUGGCCUACCAAGGCGGCGACGGGUAGCCGGCCUGAGAGGGUGGACGGCCACAUUGGGACUGAGAUACGGCCCAGACUCCUACGGGAGGCAGCAGUGGGGAAUAUUGCACAAUGGGCGCAAGCCUGAUGCAGCGACGCCGCGGGGGGGAUGACGGCCUUCGGGUUGUAAACUCCUUUCGCUAGGGACGAAGCUUUUUGUGACGGUACCUAGAGAAGAAGCACCGGCUAACUACGUG
rnacentral:rRNA from 1 species